AUGUGAGAACCCACACACUCUGGUGAGAGACAAUGAAAACACAUACCUUCAAAAUGGAGGCAAUAGCUGAAAGGAGUGACACAAGUUGUGGUCUUUCUUCCAUUGUAAGUGAAUUGUGUGGUGAUUCCGACAGUUUUAAUGCCGACAUUAAUGAUUCAGAUUCCAGUUUAAACCAGGAGAUGAAAGAUUCUACGAAUAUUAAUUCCAGUACAUAUAAGAUGUCCUGGUCCUGGAGGUGGAAGGAUCUGCUCACAGUGGAGGCAGCUCCUGUCAGUAAGCUUUACCAAAUUAUGGGUACAGCUCCAACAGAUCCUCAUGAAACCAACUUCAGAAAUUGAUAGGAAAAACAGAAAACUGAUUCCAGACACCCCGUAUUUGACCACGAGCAUCGGCGACCAGGACUCAGAAUUGUGAAAGAGCUUCCUACAGGCAACUACGGCAAUGCCUUCAUUUCCUGGUGCUCGCCUAGUGGAACUUUGACAAGAUCCUUCACCCAAAGCACACGAAACAAAUGUCAAAGGAGAACCAGUGGCAGGUUCAGACCUACCUUAUGUGAUAAGAAAAAAUGCUAAACAGAUUGAUAACUGGGG